UCUGCACAUACGACUGAAAUGAAAUUAUAUAAUCAGACAAAUGCAUUUUACGGGAACUGAAUUCUUCAAAAUUUUGGCUCUGCUCACAUUUCUACAGUAUAUAUACCCUGCUUGGUUUCUGAGAGCAGAAAUGGUCGUAUAUUUUUAGUGAAUCGUCGACCAUUGGGUAUCGAUCCACAACGUGGCACCGGGACAGCUUACGAAGGUUAUGUGAAGGUUCCUAAACCUGGCGGAAUCAAGAAAGGAUGGCAUCGACAGUUUGCUGCAAUCUGUGACUUCAAACUCUUUCUAUUUGAUGCCAUCGGUGACAGACAAACUCAGAUCUCACAAUCUGCCAGUCUCGUUAUCGACAUGAGGUAGGUUGAGACUUGCGAUUCAUUUCAUGAUUACCUCUGCCAUUUUCAUCCCUGUCUGUGCGUGUCUGUUUGUCUGUCACCACCGAUAACUUAAAAACUAUCAAACGUAUUACAGAUAAACUACGUGAAGCGUUCCUCUUUUGACCUCCUAACUCAUUUGAAAUUUUCCUCAUUAGCUUUGCAAAUUUGAAAACUCUUGAGGGAAUUCCUUUGAGGGAAUUUGCAAUGUAAUACGAACAGUUGUGGAACUUAUAGACCCAAGGACAAAUUGAUUACAUUUUGGGUAAUUCUGGAUGAAAAUCGGAUGAGAAAUUAGCUCUGCCCGAGUAGAUUGAAUACGUAAUUAGCCCUUUGUGUAAUUUAUGCAAUGCAGUGUGGUCUCUGAGCGCCCCUUAUUUAAAGUUUAACUGUAAUAAUAAAGAAUUUUUUUCUGUGUUGGUGUUUUGUACUCAGGUGAAUAUGG